GUUCAAAUGAGGAAAGGCUUAUGGUGGAUACCUAGGCACCCAGGGACGAGGAAGGGCGUAGUAAUCGACGAAAUGCUUUGGGGAGUUGAAAAUAAGCAUAGAUCCGGAGAUUCCCGAAUAGGGCAACCUUUCAAACUGCUGCUGAAUCUAUGGCCGGUCAAGAGACAACCUGGCGAACUGAAACAUCUUAGUAGCCAGAGGAAAAGAAAGUAAAAGCGAUUCCCGUAGUAGCGACGAGCGAAAUGGGAUCAUCCUAAACCAUGAAAAUGGGGUUGUAGGAGAGCAAUACAAGCGUCAUGCUGCUAGGUGAAACAACUUGAAUGUUGGACCCUAGAUGGUAAAAGUCCAGUAGCCGAAAGCAUCACUAGCUUACGCUCUGACCCAAGUAGCAUGGGGCACAUAGAAUCCCGUGUGAAUCAGCAAGGACCACCUUACAAGGCUAAAUACUCCUGGGUGACUGAUAGCGAAGUAGUACCAUGAGGGAAGGGUGAAAAGAACCCCCAUCGGGGAGUAAAAUAGAACAUGAAAUCAUAAGCUCCCAAGCAGUGGGAGGAGCCAGGGCUCUGACCGCGUGCCUGUUGAAGAAUGAGUCGGCAACUCAUAGGCAGUGGCUUGGUUAAGGGAACCCAUUGGAGCCGUAGCAAAAAUGAGUCUUCAUAGGGCAAUAGUCACUGCUUAUGGACCCGAACCUGGGUGAUCUAUCUAUGACCAGGAUGAAGCUUGGGUGAAACUAAGUGGAGGUCCGAACCGACUGAUGUUGAAGAAUUAGUGGAUGAGUUGUGGUUGGGGGUGAAAUGCCACUCGAACCUCGAGCUAGCUGGUUCUCCCCAAAAUGCGUUGAGGCAUAACAGUGGAUUGGACAUCUAGGGGUAAAGCACUGUUUCGGUGCAGGCCGCAAGAGUGGUAACAAAUUGAGGCAAACUCUGAAUAUUAGGUAUAGCCUUAAAAUUAAGAAAGAGGGGUCAAAGUCGGCUAGUGAGACGAUGGGGGACAAGCUUCAUCGUCGAGAGGGAAACAGCCUGGAUCACUAGCUAAGGCCUCUAAAUGGCCACUCAGUGACAAAGAAGGUAGGGGUGCGGAGACAGCCAGGAGGUUUGCCUAGAAGAAGCCACCCUUGAAAGAGUGCAUAAUAUCUCACUGAUCAAGCGCUCUUGCACCGAAGAUGAAUGGGGCUAAGUGAUCUGCCGAAGCUGUGGGGUGUAAAAAUACAUCGGUAGGGGAGCGUUUUGCCUUAGAGGGAAGCCUUCGCAUGAGCGGUAGUGGACGAAUUGGAAGGGAGAAUGUCGGCUUGAGUAACGCAAACAUUGGUGAGAAUCUAAUGCCCCGAAAACCUAAGGAUUCCUCUGAAAGGUUUGUCAGGGCCUAAGAUCAGGCCGAAAGGUGUAGUCGAUGGAAAAUAGGUGAAUAUUCCUGUACUACCCCUUGUUGGUCCCGAGGGACGGAGAAGGCUAGGUUAGCCGAAAAAUGGUUAUCGGUUCAAGAACGUAAGGUGUCGCUGCCCUUUUUUCAGGGUAAGAAGGGGUAGAGAAAAUGCCUCGAUCCAAUGUUUGAAUACUAGGCGCUACGGCGCUGAAGUAACCUAUGCCAUACUCCUAGGAAAAGCUCAAACGACUUUAAGCAAGAGGGUACCUGUACCCAAAACCGACACAGGUGGGUAGGUAGAGAAUACCUAGGGGCGCGAGACAACUCUCUCUAAGAAACUCGACAAAAUAGCCCGAUAACUUCAGGAGAGGGGUGACACUUCACAUCACAAAGGGGGUCGUAGUGACCAGGCCCAGGUGACAGUUUACCAAAAACACAGGUCUCCGUAAAGUCGUAAGACCAUGUAUGGGGGCUGACGCCUGCCCAGUGCUGGAAGGUCAAGAAAGUUGGUGACCUGAUGACAGGGGAGCCGACGACCGAAGCCUCAGUGAACGGCGGUCGUAACUAUAAUGGUCCUAAGGUAGCGAAAUUACUUGUCGGGUAAGUUCCGACCCGCACAAAAGGCGUAACGAUCUGGGCACUAUCUCGGAUAGAGACUCGGUGAAAUAGACAUAUCUGUGAAGAUGCAGACUACCUGCACUUGGAAAGAAAGACCCUAUGAAGCUUCACUAUUUCCUGGGAUUAGCUUUGGGCCAUUCCUGCGUAGCUUAGGUGGAAGGCGAAGAAGGCCUCCUUCCGGGGGGCCCGAGCCAUCAGUGAGAUACUACUCUGGAAGGGCUAGAAUUCUAACUUUGUGUCAGGACCUACGGGCUAAGGGACAGUCUCAGGUAGACAGUUUCUAUGGGGAAUAGGCCUCCCAAAAGGUAACGGAGGUGUACCAAGGUUUUCUAGAGCAGGAAAAAGAUUAGCCCUCGAGUGCACAGGCAUAAGGGAGCUUGACUGCAAGACCCACCCAUCGAGUAGGGAUGAAAGUUGGCCCUAGUGAUCCGAUGGUGCCGAGUGGAAGGGCCGUCGCUCGACGGAUAAAAUUUACUCUAGGGAUAACAGUCUGAUCUUCCCCAAGAUCUCAUAUCGACGGGAAGGUUUGGAACCUCGAUGUUGGCUCUUCGCUACCUAGGUCUAUUGUAUGUUCCAAGGGUUGGGCUGUUCACCCAUUAAAGCGGUACGUGAGCUGGGUUCAGAACGUCGUGAGACAGUUCGAUCCAUAUCCAAUGUGAGCGUUAGAGUAUUGAGAUUGAGAGGACCUUUCCCUAGUACGAGAGGACCAGGAAGAACGCACCUCUGGUGUACCAGUUAUCGUGCCCACAGUAAAUGCUGGGUAGCCAAGUGCGGAGCGGAUAAUUACUGAAAGCAUCUAAGUAGUAAGCCCACCCCAAGAUGAGUGCAUUCUUAUUCCGACUUCCCCAGAGCUUCCGGUAGCACAGCCGAGACAGCGAUGGGUUCUCUGUCCCUGUAGGGAUGGAGCGACAGAAGUUUUUUUGAGAAUUCAAGAGAAGGUCACGGCGAGACGAGCCGUUUAUCAUUACGAUAGGUGUCAAGUGGAAGUGCAGUGAUGUAUGCAGCUGAGGCAUCCUAACAGACCGGUAGACUUGAACCU
rnacentral:rRNA from 1 species